rnacentral:rRNA from 1 species
CCCGCUCAGCAACUCAAAGGAAUUGACGGGGCCCGCACAAGCGGUGGAGUAUGUGGUUUAAUCGAUGCAACGCGAAGAACCUUACCUGGUCUUGACAUCCCGGAGACCCUUAGGAAACUAGGGGGUGCCUUCCAUCUGGAAGAAUCUGGAGACAGGUGCUGCAUGGCUGUCGUCAGCUCGUGUCGUGAGAUGUUGGGUUAAGUCCCGCAACGAGCGCAACCCUUGCCUUUAGUUGCCAGCAGUUCGGCUGGGCACUCUAAAGGGACUGCCGGUGUUAAACCGGAGGAAGGUGGGGAUGACGUCAAGUCCUCAUGGCCUUUAUGACCAGGGCUACACACGUACUACAAUGGCCGAUACAAAGGGCAGCGACACUGCGAGGUGAAGCCAAUCCCGUAAAAUCGGUCUCAGUCCGGAUUGGAGUCUGCAACUCGACUCCAUGAAGUUGGAAUCGCUAGUAAUCGUGGAUCAGCAUGCCACGGUGAAUACGUUCCCGGGCCUU